rnacentral:rRNA from 1 species
UACGAAGGGGGCUAGCGUUGCUCGGAAUCACUGGGCGUAAAGGGUGCGUAGGCGGGUCUUUUAAGUCAGGGGUGAAAUCCUGGAGCUCAACUCCAGAACUGCCUUUGAUACUGAGGAUCUUGAGUUCGGGAGAGGUGAGUGGAACUGCGAGUGUAGAGGUGAAAUUCGUAGAUAUUCGCAAGAACACCAGUGGCGAAGGCGGCUCACUGGCCCGAUACUGACGCUGAGGAGCGAAAGCGUGGGGAG